UUCCAUGCUAAUUAUCGAACAAUCUCUACCGUCCAAACGGCAUACUCCACCAUCCCUCACACUUCCUUCCUUAUUUAUUCCUCCCCAGCUCUUCACCCGCAAGUUACUCGCUCUCAACCCCCAAACCACACCCACGAACCUUUUCUACUUCUUCUCCUGCAAAUCCCUAAAAACCAAAAAUCCCUACCAAAAAAAGAUUAAAAUCAAACGUUUUUUGUUAGAUACUGAGGAAUAAAAGGAGAGGAAAAAGAAGAAGAAGAGGUAAAAUGGGGGGAGGAAUGGAUCCAGAUCAGGGAAAGUUGUUCAUUGGAGGGAUAUCAUGGGAAACAGACGAGGAUAAGCUAAGGGAAUACUUUAGCCAAUACAGCGACGUUUUGCAGACUGUUGUUAUGAGAGAUAAGGUUACGGGAAGACCUCGAGGGUUUGGAUUCGUUAUCUUCUCAGAUCCUUCCGUUCUGGAUUCUGUUCUUCAAGAAAAGCACACCAUCGAUGGUAGAACGGUCGAGUUAAAGAGGGCGUUAUCAAGAGAGGAGCAGCAAACUUCUGCUAGAUCUGGAAAUAGUAGUCAGGGUAGAUAUUCUGGAAGUGGUGGAACUAUCAGGACCAAGAAGAUUUUUGUUGGAGGGUUGCCUCCUACCUUAACUGAAGAUGGAUUUCGCCAAUAUUUUGAGGCUUAUGGUCAUGUAACCGAUGUAGUAAUCAUGUAUGACCAGAAUACUCAACGGCCUCGUGGAUUUGGUUUUAUCUCCUUCGACACUGAAGAUGCAGUUGAUAGGGUUUUGCACAAGAAUUUUCAUGAUUUGAAUGGCAAGCAAGUUGAAGUGAAGCUGGCCCUUCCUAAAGAUGCCAAUCCAGGUGGGGUUGGCCGAACUAUGAGUGGUGGUUCUGGUGGUGAUGGAGGUUACCAGGGCUAUGGUGCUUCUGGUGGGAACGCAAGUUCUUAUGAUUGUCCUAUGGACUCCAAUAGGUACAUGCAGGCCCAGAGUACUGGAGGUGGCUUUACACCUUAUGGCUCAUCAGGAUAUGCACCUGGUUAUGGUUAUGGUCCUGGCAAUAAUGGUGUUGGUUAUGGCAGUUAUGGCAAUUAUGGUGGUGCGGGUUCUGGUUAUGGUGCCCCUGCUGGUGAUGCUUAUGGAAAUCCCAAUGCUGGUUAUGCAAGUGGCCCUCCUGGUGCCCCUAGAAGUUCAUGGGGCACUCAAACUCCUUCUGGUUAUGGUACUAUGGGUUAUGGGAAUGCUGCUCCUUGGGAUGCCCCUGGUGCUGGUGCUGUUACUGGUGGUCCAGGUUCAGCAGCUACCGGCCAAUAUCCCAAUGGAGCUGCUGGAUACAGAACUCAAGGUUACAGCUAUGGUGGGUAUGGUGGAAAUGAUGGAUCUUAUGGGAAUGGUGAGUAUGGGGUUGUUGGUGGUCGUUCUGGUGGUACUCCAAAUAGUAAUGCUGCGGCUGCAGGUGGAGGAGAUAGACAAGGGAGUGGUGGUGGCUACAUGGGAGGUGGAUACGGUGAUGCAAAUGGAAGUUCAGGGUAUGGAAAUGCAUCAUGGAGGUCUGAUUCAUCACAAGGUUCUGGAAAUUAUUGGGGCACCCGGGCAAAUGGUGCUCAUGGUGGACAAGUCGGUUAUGGUGGUGGGUACAGUGGUGCUCAGGGCUGACAACCUCAACAGUGAUUCAAUUACUUGAAGGAUAAAUUGCUUAAUCUCAACCACUUCUGCGGAUAACCUUCUCUUUGCUCUUGUGAUUGUGAUGGUUUCUUAUUCCCAGCAGCAACAGGAGAGGCUCAAGUUGGAUGUCAAGUCACUUUGGGACUGGAGGAGAGAUGCUCAAGAGUUCAAAGGUGGGUCAAGUGUCCACUUAUCGUCAUUGCUGAACCUGUACUUCGUGGUGGGGGUUAUUCAGUGUGGGGUUUGUUCUCCAGAGGACUUGGCUCAGUUGAAAUUUUGAAUUAACAUGAAAGAGGGAGGCCCUUCCCCAUCCAGGUGCGGCCAACACUGCAAAUUCUUCGCUUUUGAAUUCAAAAAUUUUCCUGAUCUGCAUUCAGGUUUCUAUGGGGAUUUAUUCAGCAUGCAAUUGAAUUUGUGAAUCUAACAGUCUGGGAGUCUGGAUGCAGCAGCCAUGAUGGAUGUUAUCCUGUUCAGGGUACGCAGGUAUCCACCAGGGAAGAUACAUAUUCGUUUAUGAAGUCUUAACUUUGCGUGUGCUCGUUGAAACGCUCCUCUGGUAUUGAUAUGAACUGGGGAAAUGUAUAUCAAUCUUUGCCAUUAGCAGUAUAUUAGUGUUAUACAAUUUGGCCAAAUACUGUAAACGUAGGCAGUGGCUGCAGCACCAACAAUGCGCAGCACUGAAACUACUAUAAUUUGACACAAGUUGCUCCGUCAUCAGCCGAUACUGACUCACAGCAACUGAAAAACUCUUCAACAAAGAUGUUCUAUCAUGAAGGUAAUAGAAAUUAAAACAUUCAACUUAAACAUAUUAGGUACUCAGGUUUUUUGUUGGGUAGGUGAUCGUGGAAAGACAAUUCUUCAAGCUUUAAUGGUUUUGUAUAUUAUUAUAUAAACUUUUGGGGUGCAGGAUUUCAAACUAAUCAAGAACUUUUAGAAACAAUGAAAAUUGCAUCCAAGCAUUUGAUUCAAUAGGUGCUGCAUAAUCUUCAUAGUUGAAUGAAAUUGAACUUGUAGUGAUCAGUUUCAGCAAAUUUAAUGCAUAGUUACCAAUACUGAUA